CAGUAAUGAAAGGUUGUACGCGCUGAUUGUUUUGGUUCUUCAUGGUUUCUAAGGUUUAAAGGCAUGAGGGUCCGCUACAGUAAGAGCUUCAUCUUCGCUGGUUCAGAUGCUCGCUGCACGUGCUGACUCACGGUUUCACCGUGACGAUGGUCAAUGGACUGCAGGACUUCGGAAUCGGCGUGAUGGUCUACGGAGCUGAGACACGAACAAGAAUCUGAAAGCCUGCUCCAGACGGGAACAGAAGGUACAAAAGAAAAGGAUAUAAAAGGUUUUGAAAGCAUGCCUCCUGCUUGUGAGACCACACCCACUCAUUCUUUUGUUCUAGCAGACAUCUGAGUGGAGCAGAACGUGUUGAUAGCUGGGGAAUGAAUUUGGCCAGGUGAGGAUUCAUUCGAGCUGCACUCUGUGGACUUGGAGCUGGAGGCCAUGGAGAAGCAGAUCCACAACCUAUAGAUGAAGCUAGCCCAGCUGUGAGAGCGGAACGCCGCGCUGGAAUCAUCCCGGAUUGACGCUCACCUGUCCCAGGUAAAUCUGUGGCGUGCAACAAACACUCCCACAACCUCAACUCCGUGUUCUUCUCUGCCCAGGCCCAACGCACCAAGGACGCGGCCCACCCAGGUUUCCUUCACUCUGGUGCCUGGGUACCACGCAGCCUGGAUGCAGCAGCAGCGGAAGACACGAGCCAAGCCCUGGGCGAGGACCUCUCCCCCUCCCCACCCGUUUUCGAGAUCUCAACCUGCAACCACUUCGCUCCCCUUUGCGAGACGGAGUGCGAUGUGGUGAUCAUCGGAGACUCCACACAUCCGUGCUACUGCGGCUAAAGGUAAGGUGCGCACUCGCUGUUUUCCUGGUACUCGUGUUGUUGAUGUCACUGCACAGGUACCCGCAAUCCUGAAUAAGAACAUCGGAGCUGUGGUCCUCCAUGCUGGCAUGAACGACAUCAGGCUGAGGCAGACGGAGAUCCUGAAGAAGGACUUCAGGAGCCGAUUCCGACUAAAAAAGCCAUCCCGAGGCAUACAGAGAUUGUGCCAGCUCCAGUGGCAUCCAGAGAUGGACCAGCUCCAGCCGGGUUCUGCUUUGUGAGGAUUCGGGUAUUCAAAGCAACACUGCCAACCUUAUGUGGACGACAACAACCUCCUUAUUAUUUUACAUAACAUUCUACACAUGCUGUAUCUGCAUCACACAAUUGACUAUACAUAAAUGCACAAAGGACAUUGUUCAUAUCACACUCUCUGGUGUUUACAAUAAUUUAUAAUCACACUCUCCACUGUCACGCAAAUGAGGAUGGGUUCCCUUUUGAGUCUGGUUCCUCUCAAGGUUUCUUCCUCAUACCAUCUAAGGGACUUUUUCCUUGCCACAGUCACCUCAGGCUUGCUCACUUGAGAUAACAUCUAGGACUGUUUGCCUGUUUAUAUGUUUGUUGUUUCUUAUGUAAAGCUGCUUUGAUGGAACGCUCUUUGUUAAAAGUGCUAUAAAAAUAAAAUUGAAUUGAUUUGAAUGUGCAUGUAAAGGCAGACGUCCCAAAACUUUUGGCUAUAAAGUCUAUAUUACUAUUUGCACAUACUGAACACUUGUA